rnacentral:rRNA from 1 species
UACGUAGGUGGCAAGCGUUGUCCGGAAUUACUGGGUGUAAAGGGAGCGUAGGCGGGACAGCAAGUCCAGUGUGAAAUCUAUCGGCUCAACUGAUAGCUGCGCUGGAAACUGUGGUUCUUGAGUGAAGUAGAGGCAGGCGGAAUUCCUAGUGUAGCGGUGAAAUGCGUAGAUAUUAGGAGGAACACCAGUGGCGAAGGCGGCCUGCUGGACUUUUACUGACGCUGAGGCUCGAAAGUGUGGGUAGCAAA